rnacentral:rRNA from 1 species
GAUGAACGCUGGCUACAGGCUUAACACAUGCAAGUCGAGGGGAAACGUCGGGGAAUCUUUCUUCCCCGGGCGUCGACCGGCGCACGGGUGAGUAACGCGUAUCCAACCUGUCUCUGACUGAGGGAUAACCCGUCGAAAGUCUGCCUAAUACCUCAUUGCAUCGUCUGCUGGCAUCCAACGACGAUUAAGUAUUUCAUCGGUCAGAGAUGGGGAUGCGUCUGAUUAGCUUGUUGGCUGGGUAACGGCCCACCAAGGGGACGAUGAGUAGGGGUUCUGAGAGGAAGGUACACCACAUCGGAACUGAGACCCGGUCCAAACUGCUACGGGAGGGAGCAGUGAGGAAUAUUGGUGAAGGGGGGAGAACCUGGAAACGCCAAGUAGCGUGCAAGAGGCCGGGGAUAUGGGUUGUAAACUGCUUUUAUGCGAGGAUAAAGUGAGGGACGUGUCAUUCAUUGAAGGUACCGAAUGAAUAAGGACCGGCUAAUUACGUG